GACGAACGAUGGCGGCGUGCCUAAUACAUGCAAGUCGAACGCAGUGGGGACGGGUGAGUAACACGUGGGUAACCUCCCAUCAGAGGGGAUAACACUUGGAAACAGGUGCUAAACUGAUACUGGUGUAUGUACCCGCGGUGCAUUAGCUAGUGGGUGAGGUAACGGCUAACCAAGGCUACGAUGCCUAGCCGAGCGGAGAGGGUGAUCGGCCACACUGGGACUGAGACACGGCCCAGACUCCUACGGGAGGCAGCAGUAGGGAAUAUUCGGCAAUGGACGAAAGUCUGACCGAGCAACGCCGCGUGAGUGAAGAAGGUUUUCGGAUCGUAAAACUCUGUUGUUAGAGAAGCGGUAUCUAACCAGAAAGCAACGGCUAACUCCGUGCCAGCCGCCGCGGUAAUAC
rnacentral:rRNA from 1 species